GACAGAGGUCCCGAGCGUUAGGCGGAAUCACUGGGCUUAAGGCGUGUGUAGGCGGAGUUGUAAGUACCUUGUGAAAUCCCACGGCUUAACCGUGGAACUGCUUGGUAUACUGCGACUCUUGGGCCAGCUAGGGGCUACCGGAACAAGUGGUGGAGCGGUGAAAUGCGUAGAUAUCACUUGGAACGCCAAUGGUGAAAACAGGUAGCUGGGGCUGUGCCGACGCUGAGACACGAAAGCCAGGGGAGCGAACGGGA
rnacentral:rRNA from 1 species